UACACUCCUACGGGAGGCAGCAGUGGGGAAUAUUGGACAAUGGGCGCAAGCCUGAUCCAGCCAUGCCGCGUGAGUGAUGAAGGCCCUAGGGUUGUAAAGCUCUUUCACCGGUGAAGAUAAUGACGGUAACCGGAGAAGAAGCCCCGGCUAACUUCGUACCAGCAGCCGCGGUAAUACGAAGGGGGCUAGCGUUGUUCGGCUUUACUGGGCGUAAAGCGCACGUAGGCGGACUAUUAAGUCAGGGGUGAAAUCCCGGGGCUCAACCCCGGAACUGCCUUUGAUACUGGUAGUCUUGAGUUCGAGAGAGGUGAGUGGAAUUCCGAGUGUAGAGGUGAAAUUCGUAGAUAUUCGGAGGAACACCAGUGGCGAAGGCGGCUCACUGGCUCGAUACUGACGCUGAGGUGCGAAAGCGUGGGGAGCAAACAGGAUUAGAUACCCCUGUAGUCCC
rnacentral:rRNA from 1 species